GACGAACGCUGGCGGCGUGCUUAACACAUGCAAGUCGAACGAAGUGGCGGACGGGUGAGUAACGCGUAAUCAACCUGCCCUUCCGAGGGAGACAACAGUUGGAAACGACUGCUAAUACCGCAUACUGAAGGAGGGGAUUGCGUAUGAUUAGCUAGGUGGAGGGGUAGCGGCCCACCAAGGCGAUGAUCAGUAGCCGGUCUGCGAGGAUGAGCGGCCAGAUUGGGACUGAGACACGGCCCAGUCUCCUACGGGAGGCAGCAGGGGGGAAUCUUCAGCAAGGGACGAAGGUCAGACGGAGCAACGCCGCGUGAGUGAGGACGGCCUUCGGGUUGUAAAGCUCUGUUAAUCGGGACGCGGUACCGGAAUAGAAAGCCACGGCUAACUACGUGCCAGCAGCCGCGGUAAUUC
rnacentral:rRNA from 1 species